rnacentral:lncRNA from 1 species
UUGGAUGCUGCUCAAAUUGAAAUAUUAUACAAUGCUCAAAUGUUAUACACAAACAGGAUCAAGAUGAACACAUAUUGCACAAGCAUUGAUAAUAUGUUCAAAAACAUACAUGUAUUGAUCAUAAGUUCAAAAACAGGACAAUCUUGACAAAGCAAAGUUUGGCCAUUUGGACCACCAUCUACAAAACACAAGCCACAUAAAAGGACCACUAUUUGUUGUUCUAAAGGAGUUCAAACACUAAAUGGUCCAGAACAAAGUCACACCCAUAAGCACAAGAUAUAUGCUCCAAAUCAGUUGAAGCACCAAAUGGUCCAGAACAGACAUAAGAUUCAUGAUCGCAAGUUAGCUGGUCCAAAAUACUGCAAACAGCCAAAUGCUGUCGAACAGUCCGAAGUAUCACAUCCAUGCGCAGUAGAUGGUUGAGUACCUGAAAAUGAAUGGUCAAAUUCUCAUAUGUUCACUCCAACGAUUCUGUGCACUUCAAAGUUUGAAAAUAUAUGUCAAAAACAAAUGUAGUCGUAUGUUGUCUAAUGAACUAGAAUUAAAAUGUAUAGCUUGAGACCAAAAAAACUGUAGUAUGUGAAGUUCUGUAAAUGCCAUGUGAUCUUUAGAUUGUGACAAUCAAAGUGUUAACACCAAACUGAUAGACGUAUGCUAACUACUAAGCAAUCUAUAUGAGCAUCAGAUUACGUCAUGUGAUUUCAUAUUUUUAAUUUUAAAACUGCAGUAUGUGGAGUUCAUUUUUAUAUACAAGACACAAAAAUGUUAUCUAGUGAUGCUAUAAUUUCACAAAUAUGUUUUACAAUUUCAGAUACACUGAAGUGUUAUGUGUGACACAUUUUCCUCGCUUGCCAUUUGGUUUACUCUGACGUACGAUAGUUAAUCCUUGUACUAGUGUUCUUAGUUCAAUAUUAUCUGAUCGAUAAACUAGCUAAAUGACAGGAAAAUCAGUCUUGGAGCAUUUGUGUGUUCAUCAAAAAUGAAAAGGGUUCCACAAGAGAACUAUGGAAAAUGGUUCAUGGGUUGUACAUAUUAUGUGUAAAUCAAAUGAUAACAUACUCGCAUCGCAUGUUUCUUAUGCAAACUAUUUUAGUUCAUAGGCUGCUUCUUCCACCGCACGUUGCUCUGAAAAGUGUGAAGACAUGUAUCAACCACCCUAUGAAGACGAAAACUAUGUUUAAUAAUAUAGAUAACUCGGCUCAUCCUAAAUCAAAUUAGAAAGUAAGCCAAGGGACUGCAAGUUAUGUCCUUGGUAAGUUUAUUGUAUGAACUUUUCAAAUGCACAAAGGAUUUUCAGGUAAUAUUAGUCCAUCACCAGAACAAACACGAAUAUCUCACAAAAGUACCAUGUACGAACAUUAUUAAGAUUUAAGUACUGCCUUAUUCUUGAACUAGAUCAUCAUUAUUAUGGUUGAACUUCUUGUAUCUUCCUACUGCUUACAAUCAGAAUGGGAUUGAUAGGCUAUAAUUAGUUAUAAAUAUGCUCAACCCACAAAUUAGCCAUCUUUCCCAUUUUAAGCAGACAUGUUAGCAUUAACUAGAAGAUUUCGUCAACUAUAUUAAUAUAUGUGAUAGCAAAUAAUGUACUAAAGUGGAAGCGAUGCAAGUAUUAGUGCAUCAAAUGGUGAUUCUGACUCUAAGAAGAUAUUUUCAAUACACAAAAAACGACGAGUUGGUACAAUCUAGAAACACAUUUAUAGUGUAUCAAGUUUGUUUUCUGCCUCCAGUUCAAUUUAACUGCUGCCAGAAAUAUAAGAUAGAUGCCAUAUGAAACCAAAAAAAGGAAAAUGCUACCAGCAAGUACGGAAAAAGGAGGAUCGACACCUGAAACCAAAACUCCCUUUGGUUACUUGUAUCUUCUAUAUACUUGAGUUACUAUCUGCUAAAAGGGGCAUUUUCAUGAAUAUUGGAACAACUGCAUGAUCUGGUUGAUAGUAUGUAUGAGAUAAAUGGCCAAUCAUUGCAGAAAUAUAAUUGGGGAGGGCAAGUAAAGAUAGCGGGCUAGCUGACAAAUAUUCAAAAUACUACGCCCGCUUUAGAGAGCGGUCUUAUGAAAGUUUACAGAGGGAGUACAAAUGAGGGAAGCAUCAUUAC